GGCCUACAACGUGACCUCCGGGAAGGAUGACUCAGUUCUCCUCACCUGCCCACCCCCGAGUUGAGUGAAGGCACUGUACUGGGUAUUGGGCAUGCAAUGGUUGGAAAACUCUCAUCCUGCCUCGAGAGACUCAAAAUUAGUAUGAGCACCUUCCUGUUUACUAUUAUCAGAAAUGCCACUUGAAUUUCUCCUAAGAUUAAAAAGGUAAUUAUAACUAUCUGUUUAUUUCCCUGUCACUGGCUCCCUGUGACCUUCAGAACUGAGAUCACUAAAACCCUAGGGGUUCAGCCUUAAGCAACGUCUUAGAUUAGGUUGGUCAUCCAGUACUUGGG